UACGUAGGGGGCUAGCGUUGUCCGGAAUCAUUGGGCGUAAAGAGCGCGUAGGCGGCCAGAUAAGUCCGGUGUGAAAGUCACAGGCUCAACCUGUGAAUGCCGCUGGAAACUGUCUGGCUAGAGUCCGGGAGGGGCGAGUGGAAUUCCUGGUGUAGCGGUGAAAUGCGCAGAUAUCAGGAGGAACACCGGUGGCGAAGGCGGUUCUCUGGGCAUGUCCUGACGCUGAGGAGCGAAAGUGUGGGGAGCGAACAGG
rnacentral:rRNA from 1 species